UGAAUUAUGGUAAAAACAAGUUCAUCCUUUCAACGUGGCACCUUCCCUACUUCAAGUCAAGUAGCUAAGCUGGUCACUGAAUCUCUCUCCUUUUCUUUUAACUCCCUCUCCUAAAUUGAAAAUGCAUGUCGGAUUUUACAUUUGCAUCAACAAUUUCCUUUUCAGUUUUACUUUCUUUUUUAACAUCAACGUUCUAUUAUAUACCAUUGAAAGAGGGUGCAUCGUUUAGGAAGGUUAUUCAUCUGUCGAGUUUUCAAGCUCUAUGUGGAAGGAAAUAGUAUUCUCUACUGUUUGAAAUCAUUUGGCAAAUGAUAUUCUCUACUGCAUGAAAUCUGUUCCAAUGGUGCCUAAAUCCUUUUGGAUGCUAGGGAGUUUCAAAUAAUUAAUUAAUGGUAAGUGUAAUGUGGUGUAGGAGAUGUCAAAGAAAAUAAUAUUGGAUGGAUAGGUGCUGUUACUGGAUCUGACUCAUUGUGGCGACUGUAUAUGAGGGCAAGAGGCGGCAAUGUUUCAAUUUAUGCGGAGGCUUGACAUAAGCUGAUGUGCCAUUAAGUUUAAGGGCUGCACAAUGCAGAAACCAAAUUUGAAUCAGAGUGGAUGAGGAAGACGAGCUCAUUGGUGGAGCGAUAAACACAGGAUGUUGUGGAUGUGGUGGAGUGAAGAUGCAGCAAAAAUGAGAAGAAAAGGGUGAGCAAGAAAGCCAAAUUGGCUAGUUUUUAGAAGGGUUGCAUGAAAUAAUUAGGUUAUGUAGUUAUGAUUUAUGAUGAAUGGGGCUGCUGCUGGCGAUGGUCUUGUAACCGGGGUUUGAUCCAAUAAGGAUGGUACGGUUGCUGGUUUGCUGUCAAAAUACACUGCUAAUUUUUCUGCAUAAUGACAGCGAUGAACAUAUUAUUCUGAAUAAACAAUGCUGAAUAUUCAGUGGGUUUGUUUGAAUUUUAUUUGGGUGCAAUCUUUUGUAAUAUGCCAUUGCUUGAUGAUGGUGGAAUUGGGUGAAAUGCUAAAUUAUGAUCACCUAGCAUGUCUUGUGCUAGUGAGUAUGAA